rnacentral:pre_miRNA from 1 species
UGAGUACUCCCUCCGUUCCGAAUUACUUGUCUUAGAUUUGUCUAGAUACGGAGGUAUCUAGCACUAAAAUGAGUCUAGAUACAUCCGUAUCUAGACAAAUCCAAGACAAGUAAUUCGGAACGGAGGGAGUACUAC